GCAGCUACCAUGCAAGUCGAGCGAGAUCUUCGGAUCUAGCGGCGGACGGGUGAGUAACGCGUGGGAACGUGCCCUUCUCUACGGAAUAGUCCCGGGAAACUGGGUUUAAUACCGUAUACGCCCUUCGGGGGAAAGAUUUAUCGGAGAAGGAUCGGCCCGCGUUGGAUUAGGUAGUUGGUGGGGUAAUGGCCUACCAAGCCGACGAUCCAUAGCUGGUUUGAGAGGAUGAUCAGCCACACUGGGACUGAGACACGGCCCAGACUCCUACGGGAGGCAGCAGUGGGGAAUCUUAGACAAUGGGGGCAACCCUGAUCUAGCCAUGCCGCGUGAGUGAUGAAGGCCUUAGGGUCGUAAAGCUCUUUCGCCAGGGAUGAUAAUGACAGUACCUGGUAAAGAAACCCCGGCUAACUCCGUGCCAGCAGCCGCGGUAAUACGGAGGGGGUUAGCGUUGUUCGGAAUUACUGGGCGUAAAGCGCACGUAGGCGGAUUAGUCAGUCAGAGGUGAAAUCCCAGGGCUCAACCCUGGAACUGCCUUUGAUACUGCUAGUCUUGAGUUCGAGAGAGGUGAGUGGAAUUCCGAGUGUAGAGGUGAAAUUCGUAGAUAUUCGGAGGAACACCAGUGGCGAAGGCGGCUCACUGG
rnacentral:rRNA from 1 species